CGGCAGCAGCUCAAUUUGAAUCUGGCUCCCCCCUCCGCGGGGGUGGCCCGAGUUGUAAUUUGCAGAGGAUGCCUCUGGCGCGGCGCCUUCCGAGUUCCCUGGAACGGGACGCCAUAGAGGGUGAGAGCCCCGUAUGGUCGGCAUCCAACCAAGCCUCUGUUGAGGCUCCUUCGACGAGUCGAGUAGUUUGGGAAUGCUGCUCAAAAUGGGAGGUAUAUGUCUUCUAAAGCUAAAUAACCGGCCAGAGACCGAUAGCGCACAAGUAGAGUGAUCGAAAGAUGAAAAGCACUUUGAAAAGAGGGUUAAAACAGUACGUGAAAUUGUUGAAAGGGAAGCGCUCGCGACCAGACUCGGGCCCGGCGGAUUAUCCGGCGUUCUUCGCCGGUGCACUCCGCCGGCGCCCGGGCCAGCAUCGGCUCGGCCGCGGGGGAUAAAGGCGGCGGGAACGUAGCCCCUCCGGGGGUGUUAUAGCCCGCCGCGCAAUGCCCCGCGCCGGGCCGAGGACCGCGCCCCAGGGCAAGGAUGCUGGCGUAAUGGUCGCUAGCGACCCGUCUUGAAACACGGACCAAGGAGUCGUCUUCGUAUGCGAGUGUUCGGGUGUCAAACCCCUACGCGCAAUAAAAGUGAACGCGGGUGAGACCCCUUCGCGGGCGCAUCACCGACCGAUUCUGAUGUUCUCGGAUGGAUUCGAGUAAGAGCAUACGGGGCCGGACCCGAAAGAAGGUGAACUAUGCCUGUGUAGGGUGAAGCCAGAGGAAACUCUGGUGGAGGCUCGCAGCGGUUCUGACGUGCAAAUCGAUCGUCAAACAUGGGCAUGGGGGCGAAAGACUAAUCGAACCUUCUAGUAG
rnacentral:rRNA from 1 species